GACGAACGCUGGCGGCGUGCCUAAUACAUGCAAGUCGAGCGCAUAGAAGGGAGCUUGCUCCCUGAAGUGAGCGGCGGAUGGGUGAGUAACACGUGGGUAACCUGCCUGUCAGAUCGGGAUAACUGUGGGAAACCGCAGCUAAUACCGGAUAAUCCUUCGCACCGCAUGGUGCGGAGUUGAAAGAUGGUUUCGGCCAUCACUGACAGAUGGGCCCGCGGUGCAUUAGUUAGUUGGCGGGGUAACGGCCCACCAAGACAGCGAUGCAUAGCCGACCUGAGAGGGUGAUCGGCCACAUUGGGACUGAGACACGGCCCAAACUCCUACGGGAGGCAGCAGUAGGGAAUCUUCCACAAUGGACGAAAGUCUGAUGGAGCAACGCCGCGUGAGCGAAGAAGGUUUUCGGAUCGUAAAGCUCUGUUGCUGGAGAAGAACGAGUGCGAGAGGAAAUGCUCGUACUGUGACGGUAUCCAGCCAGAAAGCCACGGCUAACUAC
rnacentral:rRNA from 1 species